rnacentral:rRNA from 1 species
GACGAACGCUGGCGGCGUGCUUAACACAUGCAAGUCGAACGGAAAGGCCCUGCUUUUGUGGGGUGCUCGAGUGGCGAACGGGUGAGUAACACGUGAGUAACCUGCCCUUGACUUUGGGAUAACUUCAGGAAACUGGGGCUAAUACCGGAUAGGAGCUCCUGCUGCAUGGUGGGGGUUGGAAAGUUUCGGCGGUUGGGGAUGGACUCGCGGCUUAUCAGCUUGUUGGUGGGGUAGUGGCUUACCAAGGCUUUGACGGGUAGCCGGCCUGAGAGGGUGACCGGCCACAUUGGGCCUGAGAUACGGCCCAGACUCCUACGGGAGGCAGCAGUGGGGAAUAUGGCACAAUGGGCGGAAGCCUGAUGCAGCAACGCCGCGUGCGGGAUGACGGCCUUCGGGUUGUAAACCGCUUUCGCCUGUGACAAGGCGUGAGUGACGGUAAUGGGUAAAGAAGCACCGGCUAACUCCGUG